AACGGGGGGGGCCAGCGUUAUUCGGAUUACUAGGCGUAAAGGGCGCGUAGGCGGCCUUCUAAGUCGAACGUGAAAUCCCCGGGCUCAACCCGGGAACUGCGUCCGAUACUGGAAGGCUUGAAUCCGGGAGAGGGAUGCGGGAAUUCCAGGUGUAGCGGUGAAAUGCGUAGAGUAUCUGGAGGAACACCGGUGGCGAAGGCGGCGAUCCUGGACCGG
rnacentral:rRNA from 1 species